AAUAGGAUUCAGUUUAGGCCAGGGCUAAACAGGAAAUGAAGCCUAGGUUGCAGGUUGCCGAUUUUGGAAUUCUUGACGACAAUGGAUUAACUUCGUGCAACUAUCUCCCUGGAAAAACAACCAUUCCAGCAAAGCUACUUUUGCGGAUUCGUUUCAAUUUGUCUGAUGGAAACUGGUCAUAUGGUUAAGGAUGGAACUCCACAAACCGCCUCAUGUUUCCAGGUACAAAAGCUUCUUCCAUGGCUCUUAUGAUUGCAACCAGAUCGCUCGCAGAAUGGUCAUUUGCAGUCACAUUGCUAGAGCCAGCUGCAGUUUCUCCGAAUCUUUCACUGAUUGCGAACCUACAAACAGGGCAUCGACCUUCGUUCUUCACCCAAGGAACAAUACAUUCCUCAUGAAACAUGUGGUUGCAAGGAGUAAUCGUAACCAUCUCUUUAGGCUCAAAAUCUUCUAAGCAAAUGGGACACCUCUUACCUUCUUCAUGCUUCUCUUUUUCUAGUUCUUUGGAUAUACCUGUUCAAGACUCUCUUUUGCUCUUCUUGGGAUAAUUUGGACCCGUCUUGGGGGCCUUGCACACUCGGUUGCGGCUGAAAAUUUGGCAAAGCAAUAGCUGCAGGUGGCCAU